UCGAUAGUAGCACAAAACUCUGCUUACUGACCUUGCAUGUUUGCACCGAUGUAGGUUCUUGAUAUGUCUCAUUGUCAGAAUGUCACUGAUGUGGGAGUUUCGUCGAUGGUGAAGUCAAUACCGAAUCUAUUGGAACUGAAUCUUUCGUACUGCUGUCCUGUUACUCCUUCUAUGGGGAGAAGCCUCCAAAAGAUUACUAAACUGCGGACGCUGAAGCUGGAAGGCUGCAAAUUCAUGGCUGAUGGACUAAAAGGCAUUGGAAGCUCUUGUGUUUCUAUCAGGGAGCUAAGUCUGAGCAAGUGCUCUGGAGUAGCAGAUACUGAACUCUCUUUUGCUGUGUCAAAACUAAAGAACCUGCUGAAGCUGGACAUCACUUGUUGUCGCAAUAUCACUGAUGUUUCAGUAGCUGCCAUCACUAGUUCGUGCACUUCCCUCAUCUCUCUGAGGAUGGAGUCUUGUAGCCAUGUUUCAAGUGGAGCACUCCAACUGAUCGGGAAGCACUGUCCUCACUUGGAAGAGUUGGACCUUACUGACAGUGAUUUGGAUGAUGCAGGGUUGAAAGCUCUCGCCAGAUGCAGCAACCUCUCGAGCCUAAAAAUUGGUAUUUGCUUGAGGAUAAGUGAUGAAGGUCUGACCCACAUUGGAAAAUCUUGCCCAAAACUCCGAGACAUUGAUUUGUACAGGUGUGGAGGCAUUAGUGAUGAUGGGGUUAUUCAGAUUGCUCAAGGCAGUCCAAUGCUAGAAUCUAUGAAUCUAUCCUACUGUACAGAAAUAACAGACCGUUCACUAAUGUCCAUCUCAAAAUGCACAAAGUUAAAUACAUUGGAGAUUCGUGGCUGCCCCAGGGUUUCAUCCGCUGGUCUCUCAGAAAUAGCAAUGGGUUGCAGGCUGCUUUCCAAGCUUGAUAUUAAGAAAUGCUUUGAGAUUAAUGAUGUGGGCAUGCUCUACCUUUCCCAGUUCUCUCAUUGCCUCCGUCAGAUAAACUUGUCAUACUGUUCGGUCACCGACAUUGGACUCCUUUCCCUUUCUAGCAUAUGUGGCUUGCAGAACAUGACCAUUGUACAUUUAGCGGGUAUUACACCUAAUGGCUUGACAGCUGCUCUCAUGGUCUGUGGUGGUUUGACAAAAGUGAAGCUUCAUGAAGCAUUCAAAUCCAUGAUGCCUCCUCAUAUGCUAAAAAAUGUUGAGGCGCGGGGUUGUAUGUUCCAGUGGAUCAAUAAACCAUUUAAGGUAUUGUACAUUGUGCUUUUACCUUGACUGUUUGCCUCUGCAUUAUCUUGAAUCCUCCAUCACACUGGCUUUCCUACUUUGGAUAAUUGUAUUCGAACACACACCAAACUUGGGUUGAGGUGGAACCUUGUGAUGUAUGGAAGCAACAGUCACAAGAUGUGCUUGUACGAUGAGAAGGCCUGAAGUGUAGCGAUUGUGGGAAGGAAGGGCAUUCGUCGUGGCAAUGGAUGCAUUCUUGAUUGGCGUCGUUAUGGGAAGCAACAGUCACAAGCUUAAAAUUUUGUAGUGUAAUUGGUGUGGUACUGUGGAAAUACUUUAGUUUGAGCGGAGGUAUGCUGAUGCUGUA